UGGGGAAUAUUGGGCAAUGGGCGCAAGCCUGACCCAGCAACGCCGCGUGAGGGAAGAAGGUUUUCGGAUUGUAAACCUCUGUCCUUAGGGACGAAAAAAAUGACGGUACCUAAGGAGGAAGCUCCGGCUAACUACGUGCCAGCAGCCGCGGUAAUACGUAGGGAGCAAGCGUUGUCCGGAAUUACUGGGCGUAAAGGGUGCGUAGGUGGCCAUGCAAGUCAGAUGUGAAAUCCCCGGGCUUAACUCGGGGGGUGCAUUUGAAACUGCGUGGCUUGAGUGCAGGAGAGGAAAGCGGAAUUCCUAGUGUAGCGGUGAAAUGCGUAGAUAUUAGGAGGAACACCAGUGGCGAAGGCGGCUUUCUGGACUGUAACUGACACUGAGGCACGAAAGCGUGGGGAGCAAACAGG
rnacentral:rRNA from 1 species